UGUAAUUUAGUGUUGAGCACGUAAAAUUUUGAGUUUUAAAAAUAUAAAUAUUUUUAUAAAUUAUAA
rnacentral:tRNA from 1 species